GCGAGUAUGGCGGAAUUGGCAGACGCGCUAGAUUCAGGUUCUAGUGGGUAACACCGUACAGGUUCAAGUCCUGCUACUCGCACCA
rnacentral:tRNA from 1 species